AACGCACAUUGCGCCCUGUGGUAUUCCGCAGGGCAUGCCUGUUCGAGCGUCAUAACAACCACUCUAGCUCUGCUAGGACUUGGGCACCUGCCAGUUCAUUUUGGCAUGCCUUAAAACCUCACAGUAGCGCCGUCAAGCCUGAGCGUAGUAAACACACCACCGCUAAAGGAUUGAUGGAUGUCCAACCGUCUAAGCCUUUCUUUAGGUUGACCUCGGAUCAGGUAGGGAUACCCGCUGAACUUAA
rnacentral:misc_RNA from 1 species